rnacentral:lncRNA from 10 species
AGUUCUCCUCUUCUCUUGUUCUAUAUCCUUGGGAGAUGACCUUUUAACCACAUGGCAGUACUUUCUCUUGGUCUCUGCUGUCACAAUGGCUGCUCAGGUUCAGGGUUCAAUUCCUGGCUUAGGAAAUGAGUCCUUUCUGGUUUGAUAUCAGUGUGACAUUUGCCAUUUUUUAAUUCUCUUCCCCUCUAGGAACCAUCUUUGGAGUAAUCUGCCUUGCAACCGGAAUUUGGCUCAAAACAGGUUUUUCUUAGAGCACUAAUCGACACUUUAACAAAAAAUUGUAAAGGUUAUAAAAAUUGUAAGGGUUAAAAAAGGUUUAUGAGUAUCUCACCUUAUGGUCAAACAUUAAAUUUGGGUAGACAUGUCAAUGAGUUUUAUUAAGAAUUGGUUUUAACAUUAAUAGUACACUAAUGUAAAGGUGAAAUUUGGCUUAUUUGGUACAAAAAUCAUACAGGAAGCACUGUCACAUGUGAAAUAGUGUUUGGCUUUCUUUGGGCUAUAUUUGUUUAAAUAUGUUGUUGGUAUGUGUUCCAAAAUUACGUAAAACUCCUCUAAUUCUAAUAGGACUUAGUGUAUGUUAUUAUAAUUGUUACAUAAAAUCAUAUGCCAGAAAGGUAACCAAAUUUCUUUGUCAAUCGUGUUUUUAACUGUGGCUGCCCUAAAAGAUUUUGUCAUUCACAGAAAAUUGUUAUGUUGUUUUGAUCCUCUUCAAAAGAUUGUUUCAUAAUCAGUGACAGGACUUUGAUAGUUGCUCUUAAAUGCAGGUUUCUGAUUACUUUGAAUAACUUUGGAAUAGAGAAAAAACAUUAAGGACUCUCAUGGAGAGCUGAAAUGUUUAUGACUAUCAAGCAGAAGAUGAGUUAACUGCAUGGACUAAACUAAUGUAAGAUUAAAGAAACUUUUUUGACAUUUUGCUUAAAAAUUGCUGAUCAUUUGCUUUGUUUUUCAGAGUCAAGGUAACUUCUUUUAACCUACUUGCAGCUUUUGACAAUUAAGUAAAGUAUACUCCUGUGAACAAAAUUUGAAACAUAUUUGUUUCUCUCUACCUAAUUUCUCCAGAAUUUGGAAACUAUUUGACACAAUUGGUGAAACUGGUUAUCAAGGCAUUGACCAGAAUGGUGUGCUUUCCUUUAAGGAAUUGAGCUUGACUUUAAAGCCAAUAAAAGCCUCUUGAGAAAACUGG